GACGAACGCUGGCGGCGUGCUUAACACAUGCAAGUCGAACGGUGAAGCGCGGUCCUUUUUGGUGGGUGUGGAUGAGUGGCGAACGGGUGAGUAACAGGUGAGUAACCUGCCCCGCUCUGCUUGAUAACCGCAUGAAAGUGUGGCUAAUACGGGAUAUACUGCGUCUGUCGCAUGAUGGGUCUGGGAAAGUUAUUGUUUCGGUGGGGGAUGGGCUCGCGGCCUAUCAGCUUGUUGGUGGGGUGAUGGCCUACCAAGGCGGUGACGGGUAGCCGGCCUGAGAGGGUGGACGGUCUGACUGGGGAGGAGGCACGGCCACGCCUCCUACGGGAGGCAGCAGUGAGUCAUACGGCACGAUGGGGGGAAGCAUGAUGCAGCGACGCCGCAUGAGUGAUGGAGGACUGCGGGUUGAGAACCGCUUUCGCUAGUGAAGCAAGGCUGCCUUGUCUGUGAGUGUGUUGACGGUACCUGGAUAAGAAGCGCCGGCUAACUACGUG
rnacentral:rRNA from 1 species